AAUCCUAAAGGUUCCAUAACUGUCCCCAACGGCACCAGCAGCUAGGGAGCACAUGUUCAGAUACAGGAGCUUAUGGGGCAUUUCUCAUUCAAAUGGGGCUGUCUCCACAUUUGGCUCUGGCUCCUAAUGACAUGAAUAGGAAGUAAUUACCACGUUUCUAGAGAACAAGCUGUUUGGGUAAUGGCCUUAGAUGGACAGAGCCAGCAUCCUCACAGGAAUGGCGCUAAUGGGGGAGAUGCUCCAGGUAGGCAUACGUGAGCACAGGCGCCUGCAGACACUGAAGACCUUGGAGCCUCUGGAGGUGGAGCUCAGAAGGCUGCGAGUUGCCGGACUUGGGAGCUGGGAACUGAAUCUGGGUCCUCUGGAAGAGCAACGAGUCCUCUUCAGCACUGAGCUAUCUCUCCAGCCGCCAGAAUACAUUUUAAGUCGUGGAUGGUCCUAAGUAACUCGAUGAAGUACUGAGCUCACUGUUGAUGCAUGUAUGCACGUGUGCAUUUGAGGUCAGAGGACAACCUGCAGGUUCUCUCCUUCCACUGUGUAGAAUCCUGGAAUACAACUCAGGCUGGCAGGGUUAGCAGCAAACACCUUACCUGCUGAGCCAUCUUGCUAACCCUUAAAUGUCAUUUUUAAAAACUGUUUUACUAAUAUUCAAAAUUGAGACAUUUUAAAAUCAUGUAUGGUUACUGUCUGUUGUAUUUUAUAAAAAUACAUAUAGAGAGAAGGAGUGUGUUUGGUGGAUGUGUCGUCAGGUGUGGAGGAAGGGGGUGCCUCUGCGGGCCCAUGCCCAGGCAUACCUUCCCCUGAGGGACCAGCCAUCAUGGAAUGGUAUAAUAUAGAAUAUAGUUUAUUCAGGGA